rfam:Dipodomys ordii contig_40581, whole genome shotgun sequence.
GGGAAGGUAGCUCAGUGGUAGAGUGCUUGCCUAGCACGCAUGAAGCCCUGAGUUCCAUUCUGCAGUACCA